CUUAUUAAACUAGCCUUAUGGACUAAAUCUCCAUUUUGGUCUCUAAGAUUCACGCGAUUACCCAUUUUGAUCCCCGAAAUUCAAAAUUACCUAUACUGAUCCUUCAGAUUCAAGUUCGGGCACUAAUAUGGUCCCUCGACUCUUUUCGGCGAUGACUAGACAAAUGGAAUGUUGAGAUGGCACCCUCCCUACCAUGUUGGAUGAUGAGUAAACAACUUC